GCGGUUCUCAGUGUAGUUAUUCCACUUUGUAGAUUUGUCUCUCAUUCUUUUUCUGAUCUGGAUGGCAAUAUGGAUUUCACUUCUUGGAUAACUGCCACAUCCAGCUACCAUAUGCAGAUGUACAAUUCCAAUAUCAAAGCACUGCUUGUUAAUUAGACUUCCAGAUUAAGAUCUAUAGCCCAAUCGCUUGUUUAUUCCCCAGCUUCAGACCAUGUGGUGUGACCAUUGAUACAAUGUGCUUUUUUUAUACAGA